rnacentral:rRNA from 1 species
GUGCAGCAGUCGCGAAACCUUUACAAUGUCUUCACGGACGAUAGGGGAAUCCUGAGUGCUCUAGCAUUGCUAGAGCUUUUGCUUACUGAAAAGGUAGGCGAAUAAGUGGUGGGUAAGACGGGUGCCAGCCGCCGCGGUAAUACCCGCGGCCACAAGUGGUGACCACGUUUAUUGGGUCUAAAGCGUUCGUAGCCGGCCUGAUAAAUUCUCGGUGAAAUCCUGUGUAAAUCAUAGGGCGUGCC